rnacentral:rRNA from 1 species
ACGAACGCUGGCGGCGUGCUUAACACAUGCAAGUCGAGUGGUAAGGCCCUUUCGGGGGUACGACGAGCGGCGAACGGGUGAGUAACACGUGGGUGACCUGCCCUCCAGCUCUGGGAUAAGCCUGGGAAACUGGGUCUAAUACUGGAUAUGACUCCACGGUGCAUGUCGUGGGGUGGAAAGCCUUGUGCGGCUGAGGAUGGGCCCGCGGCCUAUCAGCUUGUUGGUGGGGUGAUGGCCUACCAAGGCGACGACGGGUAGCCGGCCUGAGAGGGCGACCGGCCACACUGGGACUGAGACACGGCCCAGACUCCUACGGGAGCAGCAGUGGGGAAUCUUGCGCAAUGGGCGAAAGCCUGACGCAGCGACG